GAUGAACGCUGGCGGCGUGCCUAAUACAUGCAAGUCGAGCGAACGGACGAGAAGCUUGCUUCUCUGAUGUUAGCGGCGGACGGGUGAGUAACACGUGGAAAACCUACCUAUAAGACUGGGAUAACUUCGGGAAACCGGAGCUAAUACCGGAUAAUAUUUUGAACCGCAUGGUUCAAAAGUGAAAGACGGUCUUGCUGUCACUUAUAGAUGGAUACGCGCUGCAUUAGCUAGUUGGUCAGGUAACGGCUUACCAAGGCAACGAUGCAUAGCCGACGUGAGAGAGUGAUCGCCCACACUGGAACUGAGACACGCUCCAGACUCCUACGAGAGGCAGCAGUAGGGAAUCUUCCGCAAUGGUCGAAAGCCUGACGGAGCAACGCCGCGUGAGUGAUGGCGGUCUUCGGAUCGUAAAACUCUGUUAUUAGGUAAGAACAUAUGUGUAAGUAACUGUGCACAUCUUGACGGUACCUAAUCAGAAAGCCACGGCUAACUACGUG
rnacentral:rRNA from 1 species